UUUUUUUUUUUUUUUUCCCUGUGGUUUCCAGAGGCUUGCAGUAAAUGAUUUAUCCACUGUACUCAUCCCCUGUGCUGGCAGAGCUGUAGCAUAGUGCACUGACUGGGAAGCCUAAUUUCAAGGCUGGCCUUCGACUCUUCAAGAUCCUCAGGAGGAGGGUUUGUCAUGAUGGAGGCUGGUACAUCCUUUCUCCUGGAUGAAGUUUGUUGCAAAGCCAAGCUUGAUUAAGAAGCGCUUGGAGAAGAGACAUAGAAAAGCUGCAGUCAUGCUAUCAGUCUGUUUUAAGGCCAGGUGAGUUUUAAAUACUUCUUCCAGUCUUUUUGAAUGUACAUUUGGAAAGGGGAAAAAAAACCUUCAAAUGUUUUAGGCAAAACUAGUUUUUCCUGGGGUAGUCUGUUGUGUAGGUAAGCCUUGCUUCUAGCUUGAGGGAAUCUUGUCUUUGACUAAGUUUUAACUAAGCAGUACAUAGGCUUUUGGGGGGAUUUUUUUUUGUUUUAGAAUUUUAAAUAGUGUGUGAGCAGGUGAGAAAUAUAGCAACCAUCAUUCUUUUAGUAAUUUUUUUACUAAUGUAUUUGUGCUCUAGUGAUAAAAAGUAUAAGUAGUAGAUUAAGAUAUAAGGUCUCUGCUGUUUGGCAGAAUCAUCAUGCUGUUUCUGGAAUCAUCAUCCCUGGAAGUAUUCAAAGGACACUUAGAUGUGGCACUUGAGGACAUGGGUCAGUCGUGAACACAAUGGUGCUGGGUUAACAGUUGGACUCCAUGAUCUUAGAAAUCUUUUCCAGUCUUUGUGGUUUUAUGAUUCCUUAAUUUUUGCCAAGGGUGGAAAUAAAUGCUUAAUACUUAUCUAAGAGAAGCUUCACAGACAACUUAAAUUUUCUCAUGGAAACAGUAGGAAAUGUGGGCAAAUGUAAUUUUUUUUUUAAUCCUGGUAAACCCCAAACAGGUUUUAGAAAUACCUAUGAAAGUAAGUGAUGAUAGCAGAAGAUUUAAAAAAAAAAAAACCACAACCACCCACCAAACCAGUGCAUCCUAAAGCAUGACAAAACUAUAUUUCUUUAGUGCAGAAGGCAGGAGAAGUCACCUGAGACAGGUUUUCAUGUGGCACCUGAUGUAAUACUGUGCUGGUUUAUUAUUCUCUCAGAACAUUACAAAAGGUUAAAGGCAGCAAAAUCAUUCUCUGAGACAGACCUCAGCCCUUUUGUGCCUGUUGCAUGGUUAUGUGCAAACAGCUUACAUGCCAGCAGUGUGGAAGUACAAAGCAGCCAUAAGAUUUAUUUUACUUGACUCCUCUGCUUCUGUCUGGAAAGAAGAAGAGGGAGGUGCAAGUUAUGGUUGCUAGACUAUCCUUUCUGUCAGCUGUUUUCAGACAAUAUGGAUGCAUUCAUGUGUGUAACCAACUUGAGCAGAAUAACGCAGCUGCAGACGGUUAUAUUCUGCCUUAGAGCAGAAAUCCAAGGCUCCACAGUUAGAAUUAGUUUCUGGAUUCUGUUUUCGGAUCCCACCUCCACCUCUUCUUGGGCUGUCAUCUUCCUUGCGAUGAGAAGGCUGAUUACUGUAUCUUAGCAGUUCUAGGCUCUGGUAAAAUGAGUCAAGCUGCUGUUACAAUUCCCAUGAAGCUGUCCAUCAGUGCUGGAUGUAGAGAGCAGAGCCAUUAGAAUUGGCUGGGCAGGUGGUGGAGAAUAGUUGAACACCUGCGGGUAAUAAAACCUGCAUCAGAGCUGCUUCAAGGCAAACAGUAUUUCCUUUUCCAGCAGCCUGACUGAAGAAUCUACAUUUUACAGACAGUAGAGCACACAAAGUAAUGUUUUCAAUUCUUAAUCAAAUACAGUUUUUGUUCAAGAAUAUGCUUUUGUGGGGGAGUUUCAGCCAGAACCUUAGAACACGGAAAUACUACAAGCCAUUUGUCUUACCACCCUGUUUCAUUUGCUUACAAACUUUAGAUGAAUGUAGAAACAAAAUAAUGCUUUAGGAGCCAUGAAUAUAGAAACAAAAUAACACUGUAGGAGGAGCCAUGCCCUUGUAAUAGCUAUCUGGUAAAGAAAUUACAGGGAUGGUCUUCAUAUCAGAUCUCACUCACAUUAGGCUCUAUUCAUAUCAUGUCAGAGAUGAAAAAAGCAGGAAUUAAAUUUAAGUGCCAAUAAUUAGAUGAGAGGAGUCUUGUAGCUAAGCACCUGCAGGAUAAGUAUUUAGACAUGCUUGAUUAGUGGGGAAAAAAAUAUUAAAAGUCCAUUAGCAAAGGAAUAUCUGUCACUGCAUUUUCUCUUAAGAACUGAAAGCUUAAUGCAAUUAAACCCAUUUAAUAUGUUUUUUUUCAGGUACUGUUUAAAUUUCAUGUCCUCUGCUAAUUAUUUUCACAUGUUAUAUUGCUUUACCAAGGUGAGGGAAUGGUUCAAAAUCAGUGUAUCCCUGUUGAGACCAAGCUAGGGUUACAAAAGUAAUUCACGGAAUGAAGUCGUGCAAUGGAUUCAGUUUGGCUGGGUGAAAAAAACAUCCCAUAUUUGCAUUGCUAUAGUCCUUCAUCAUUCACAUUUGAUUUAUCUGGCAUUUGAUACAAGAUACAAGCAUGACAAUUUGCCUCAAGCUGCUACAAUGUUUACAGAAGAGAGAUCAUCCAAGAUAGUAAGUGCAAUUACUUCUCCAAGAGUUGAAUUUGUGGUUCAGAAUACAAGAAAGGCUUACAGGUUGAACAUUUAUUUCGGGUUUGUAAGAUGAAACCUUAUGCUUUGUAUGUUUAGCACCCUAGACUAAAGCAUGAAAUACACAGCUUUUAGUUAUACUACUUCUUACAAAUCCCUUCUCCUAGUGAACUGUCUACAAUCACAGUGUGUUCAUUGACAGCUGUUUUCAUUUUGUAAUUACAUUUGUGUUAUGACCCAUCCUUGAAGGUGAGGUAACUGAGGUUCUUGUUAAUAAUCCAACCCUUGGGGGUUGGAUUACAGUAAAAUGACACUAAAUGACCAGUGUUUAUAAAUAUAAAUAAAUAAAUAAACAUGCCAGGUUUCUUUCAGAACAAUUUGGUUGCAAAGGAUAGGAGGUAUAUAGGUUUGAUUAUUAUCUGUAGAAAUAUAACAAUACAGAUGCAUAAAAAUAACAUGUAAGAAAAUGUAUAAAGAAAAGAGAGAAAGGAUAGGUGAAAGGCCUCAGAAAUUAGUUUGAGGGCACUUUGGGGGUAUCUGUGGUUUAUGACACCUUCUAAGACAUGGCAGCAUAUUUUAUGCCCUGUCUUGAGGGAUGAACACCUUCAGGCCUAUGUGUGAAUGUCCUAUACCUCCCCAGCUAUUCCACUUCCAAAGGGUCUUUUUAUUGGCCUUGUCCCUUAUCUGUCUCAAACCCCAGCUGUAGCCCCCUCUGCACCUGGGCUGUGAGAUGCACAUCCAGCAAGAGCACCCAAGUGGCUGAUUGUUUGAGUCAUUGUCCAUUAACGUUCCAGUCUAACAGCUUGACAAAUUCCUUCCAGACUAGCUGUUCAGCUACUGAAGGGUUUUGGCGCAGAGGGGAGAGAAACAAUUAAAAGGGUCUAAGAUUUGGCAUUGUAAGGGUCAAACCCACCAGAUGCUCCAGCAAGUGGGAUUUUAGGAUGAACAUAUUUUGCUGUAACAAGUCUUUGUCUUUGCCUCUUUGUCUCUUGAUUACUUUCCACAGGAGCUAAGAAAAUGUUAUGUUGAAUUUCCAGACUUCUGGAAACCUGUUCUGAGAAGGUGAGUGCAGAUUUGCAUGACUGGAAUGGUAUCUUUUGCUCCUCUCUUUGGAGGGCACAUUCUUUUUCUUAUUAUUAAUGUGACUACUCAGUGAAACUUUCUCUAUAUUCUUACUGGUUAAAUCUGCUGGUCAUGGGUAUGGCUCUAAUUUAAGUUCUUUUGCCAGCAUCCAAGAAGACUCUGUAUGUGUGGAUUCCUUUCUCGAUUAAAUAGUGUUAUUUUAAAAACAAACAUUAAACUUUUAUGAAAUUAUACUGGUUUCUGAGUAUUGUUUAUUUAAAAAUUAUUCUCUAAAGAGGAUUUUAAAAGUGCAGGCUUCUACAAGAUAUUGAUAGUGGCAAGGGAGAGCACUGGAUUCUGAAGCUUCUUGAUUCAUAGGUUUUCUGUAUCUCUUGGAAAAGCUGCUUAAAGUAGAGAAAAAGGCUUUUUAAAGCUCCUGUCUCUAUACUUAAUUUGGAAUCUUGCAGCUAUUUUUUAACUCAGCUACACUGUUAAAUUAUUCAUGCAAACUUGUCAUGUUUUCACAGAAGUGCCUUGUUAACUCUUGUCACAAGUAUUUCAUCUCUAAGGAAGUGGUGUUGUGUUUCACCAACAAAAAUAUCCUGACAGCAGCUGCCAGGCAUGUAAAAGAAUAAAGACAGUCCAUGCUUUUUUUUUUUUUGUCCCCCAAAAGAUUUAUUAUAACUGUUGAUUAUUCUCAAAAAUAAUGUGUGAGAGAUGGCUUUACAGUGUGUAGAUAGACUCAUCCUGCUUUAUAUAUGACUAAAACCCCACAAAUUAGCUUGUUGCUGCUACUCAGGGAAGAACAGUUUAGAAAUUCUUAUUUUCGCCACACAAGCUUCACACAGUCAGUCAUACCCAUCAGGAUAAGCCUAAGUAUUGAAUUGUCAGCUCUUAGCUUGUUGUGUUAUAGAUCCACUUUCUCCUUCCUUCAUUGCUGAUGCAGAGGCUGACUGGUAAAGUAAUUACCAUAGCACUGACAUGCUUUGGCCAACGGAGGCGUAAUCCAGGGGUGGAUUCAAACAGCCUGCCUAGAAAGGAUGGCCUAUACUUUAAUCAUAAUUGAAGCAUCACAGUAGCAGAGAUCCAGCUGCUCCGGAAAAUACUGAGGAACGUGGUCUGUACAGGUAGUGAAAAAAUUAUUUGCCACACAAAGGCUGCAUUUUAACCAUGUUCUUUAGCAGAAAUUACCUCCUGCCUGCAGAAGAAGUGUUGGUUGGAGGUGAUAAACCUAAUAGCCCAAGUGAAGCUGCCUUCAUCUUUGUCUCGCCAGGCCCAGGCAGCAUGAAGGCUGCGUGUGUACUCCCAGUAAGGACAAAAACACGCUGAUGUGUGUGCACAUGGCCAGCCACACAGACAAAUACAUAUAAAACUAUAAAACAGCACUUCUGCAAAUGGAAACAGGACCAAUGCCAUAAUCCUCUUCCCCUCUCUGGAAUGAAGGUGUGCAGUGGAACAUACAGAAAAGACAUACAGCAUGGGCCUUUUAGUAACAGGACAGAUGCUCGUUUAUCCAGUAGCCAGCCCUGGAUCCUUGUUCCGUCCAGCUGCAGAUACCUGAUCAUGGCAAGACCUCAAGGCUCACUGCCCCACUUAGUUUGCUGGCACCCACAGACUGCACAUCCACUCAAUAACCAGCCUUGGGCAGUUCCCCUGUCAGCUGGCCCUGGUACCCUCUGGUCUUUGAUCCUCUCAGGCAGAUCCUCUGGUCAGAUCCUCUGAUCCUCUCAUGGUACAGCAGUAAGGACUGAAGAAAGUCCAGAGAGCUGAAAGUAGUCAGAAGCUGGGUGAGUAGUAGGGGAAGUGCCAUUUGUCAUUGUCCUGCUCUUGUUCUUUCAUGGUAUCCAGCAUGGCUAACCAGAGCAUGCUCUGAGCCAGAACUGACAUUCCUUGAUACCUGGCAAAUCCAGCUGUAUGUCUAGCAGACAGUGGGCUUUUAGCUGCAGCACAGUGGCUGGAUUCUGUUGCAUCCAGACACUGAAGAAACUGCAGCAUCCUGCAGGAAUCAGUAAAAAAAUCGGUUUUGAUACAAAAGUGCUUAGCAGCAUGUUACCACUCUGCAUCUGGUAACACUCAUGUGUGCUUCAUGCUGUUCUGCAAGUACAGAUUUCAUAUUUCAUGUCUCUGUCAUGGGAUUUUUGACAGCCACAGAGCCAACCUGAGGUGGGGUGGUGUAAACCCUGUGAAAAUAAUUUGUCUGUAAUGAAAUAAACCCUGCCUUAAAG
rnacentral:lncRNA from 1 species